rnacentral:rRNA from 1 species
GACGAACGCUGGCGGCGUGCUUAACACAUGCAAGUCGAGCGGUGAAGGGACUGGUUUUGCUGGUCCUGGAUGAGUGGCGAACGGGUGAGUAACACGUGAGUAACCUGCCCCCUUCUUCUGGAUAACCGCAUGAAAGUGUGGCUAAUACGGGAUAUUCUGGGUCUGUCGCAUGGUGGGCCUGGGAAAGAUUGCGCCUUUUUUGGUGUUUUUGGUGGGGGAUGGGCUCGCGGCCUAUCAGCUUGUUGGUGGGGUGAUGGCCUACCAAGGCGGUGACGGGUAGCCGGCCUGAGAGGGUGGACGGUCACACUGGGACUGAGACACGGCCCAGACUCCUACGGGAGGCAGCAGUGGGGAAUAUUGCACAAUGGGCGCAAGCCUGAUGCAGCGACGCCGCGUGAGGGAUGGAGGCCUUCGGGUUGUGAACCUCUUUCGCCAGUGAAGCAGGCCUGCCUCUUUUUGUGGGUGGGUUGACGGUAGCUGGAUAAGAAGCGCCGGCUAACUACGU